CCUACGGGUGGCUGCAGUGAGGAAUAUUGGUCAAUGGGCGCGAGCCUGAACCAGCCAAGUAGCGUGAAGGAUGACUGCCCUACGGGUUGUAAACUUCUUUUAUAAAGGAAUAAAGUGAGGCACGUGUGCCUUUUUGUAUGUACUUUAUGAAUAAGGAUCGGCUAACUCCGUGCCAGCAGCCGCGGUAAUACUGAGGAUCCGAGCGUUAUCCGGAUUUAUUGGGUUUAAGGGGAGCGUAGAUGGGUUGUUAAGUCAGUUGUGAAAGUUUGCGGCUCAACCGUAAAAUUGCAAUUGAUACUGGCAGUCUUGAGUACAGGUGAGGGAGGCGGAAUUCGUGGUGUAGCGGUGAAAUGCUUAGAUAUCACGAAGAACACCGAUUGCGAAGGCAGGUUCCUAAACUGUCACUGACAUUGAUGCACGAAAGUGUGGGUAGCAAACAGGAUUAGAUACCCGUGUAGUC
rnacentral:rRNA from 1 species